CCCGAAUAUAAGCCAAGUAGCCCACUACAUUAUUCAACAUUGACAUCGUCUUUUAAUAUAGCAGAGAAUGAUAUUUUAAAACAUUGUCAUUGUCUUUAUAUCUUACUAUGUUAAUCAAAGCGAGUUAUUAAUACACGUUUAUUUUCCUGUCUAUGACUGACUUGUUUACGUCUGACUUAUUAGUGACUAACACAAAAGAUCG